UACGAAGGGUGCGAGCGUUGUCCGGAAUUAUUGGGCGUAAAGAGCUCGUAGGCGGUGUGUCACGUCGAUCGUGAAAACUUGGGGCUUAACUCUGAGCUUGCGGUCGAUACGGGCAUCACUGGAGUUCGGCAGGGGAGACUGGAAUUCCUGGUGUAGCGGUGAAAUGCGCAGAUAUCAGGAGGAACACCGGUGGCGAAGGCGGGUCUCUGGGCCGAGACUGACGCUGAGGAGCGAAAGCGUGGGGAGCGAACAGG
rnacentral:rRNA from 1 species